rnacentral:rRNA from 1 species
AGUGAACGCUGGCGGCAGGCCUAACACAUGCAAGUCGAGCGGCAGCGCGUCCGACCACCCUCGGGUGGUCGGAUGGCGGCGAGCGGCGGACGGGUGAGGAAUGCAUCGGAAUCUGCCUCGUUGUGGGGGAUAACGUAGGGAAACUUACGCUAAUACCGCAUACGACCUACGGGUGAAAGUGGGGGGACCUUCGGGCCUCACGCGAUGAGAUGAGCCGAUGCCGGAUUAGCUAGUUGGCGGGGUAAAGGCCCACCAAGGCGACGAUCCGUAGCUGGUCUGAGAGGAUGAUCAGCCACACUGGAACUGAGACACGGUCCAGACUCCUACGGGAGGCAGCAGUGGGGAAUAUUGGACAAUGGGGGCAACCCUGAUCCAGCCAUGCCGCGUGUGUGAAGAAGGCC